UCCCAGAAAACUGAUCUCAGUUCGGAUUGCAGGCUGCAACCCGCCUGCAUGAAGUCGGAAUCGCUAGUAAUCGCGGGUCAGCAUACCGCGGUGAAUACGUUCCCGGGCCUUGUACACACCGCCCGUCACACCACGAAAGUUGGUAACACCCGAAGCCGGUGGCCUAACCCUUAGGGGAGGGAGCUGUCGAAGGUGGGACUGAUGAUUGGGGUGAAGUCGUAACAAGGUAUC
rnacentral:rRNA from 1 species